CAAUAGCGUAUAUUAAAGUUGUUGCGGUUAAAAAGCUCGUAGUUGGAUUUCUGCCGAGGACGACCGGUCCGCCCUCUGGGUGAGUAUCUGGCUCGGCCUGGGCAUCUUCUUGGAGAACGUAGCUGCACUUGACUGUGUGGUGCGGUAUCCAGGACUUUACUUGAGAAAAUUAGAGUGUUCAAAGCAGGCCUAUGCUCUGAAUAGGUUAGCAUGGAAUAAUAGAAUAGGACUUUGGUUCUAUUUUGUUGGUUUCUAGGACCGAAGUAAUGAUAAAUAGGGACAGUUGGGGGCAUUCAUAUUCCAUUGUCAGAGGUGAAAUUCUUGGAUUAACGGAAGAUGAACUUCUGCGAAAGCAUCUGCCAAGGAUGUUUUCAUUGAUCAAGAACGAAAGUUAGGGGAUCGAAGACGAUUAGAU
rnacentral:rRNA from 1 species